CUUUCCUUUUCACUCUUAACAUGCUGUAAUUGCACUUGAUUAACAAUGGGUGGUUUGAGAGUGGCCACAAGAUGGCACCAUGCUCCAUAAAAUGGCCAUAGCAGCUAGAUGGAACUUCAGCCAUUAGGAGGAGGAUGUUUUGUUUAUUUUAUUUUGCUGGGAGAGGAGUUUUAAUACGUUGAAUAGAUUUCUAGUCUCUCACUCCAUGAGAUCAAAGGAGUGCCUUUAAGAAAGCCUCACAAUUUAGAUCAACUACCUCAUAACAUCCAAGCAUUUACUUUGCCACUACUUGUAAACUGAAAGCUGCCAUUCAGAAACCAUUUUCUUGUUCCUUUUGUAACAUCAAAUCCAAGAUACUGUUUCCCAUAGAGAUGGCAUGUUUUUGAGCUUUGAAAGUUUUAUAAUCCUGAUAAAGCUUGGCCCAUUUGAAUGUCUGACGUUUUAGCAUUCCUGUCAGGGCCAUUUGAAGUUAACAGGGACACUUAUGUAACUGUCCGAAAUUUAAGCUGGCAAUGUCUUGACAGAUUAAACAGGUAGGGAGCCUGAAGACCAGUAGUUUUCAAGUCUUUUAAUGGAGAAACCUAUUCUUCAAGUGUAAUCUUAUGUGAAACUUUAGGAUGUACAGGUUCCUCUGGUUGAAGCUGGAAUGGGAUAAAGUUUACCCAGCAACGGCCUCAUAACUAGGGUACUUUUUGAAAACUGGUGUUGACAAAAAGUUCUAUCCCAAGGGCAGGUAACUUUUGAAACUGAUUUUCCCAGAUUAUACCAAGCCACACAACUUAUUUGAGCUCUAUUUUCUGAUUCAGGUAGAUUGCUUCUAAAUCUGCAGUAAUGGUGAUAGGAACUAAAGACGGUAAGAUUUCUUUUUUUUUUUUUUUUUUGAGACAGAGUCUCUUGCUCUGUCACCCAGGCUGGAGUUCAGUAGUGCGAUCUUGGCUCACUGCAGCCUCAGCCUCCUGGGCUCAAGUGAUUCUCCCACCUCAGCCUCCCAAGCAGCUGGGAUUACAGGCACAGGCCACCAUGCCUGGAUGAUUUUUCAAUUUUUUGUAAAGAUGGGAUCUCACUGUUGCCCAGGCUGGUCUUAAACUCCUGGGCUCAAGCAAUCCUCCCGCCUUGGCCUCCUAAAGGCUAGGAUUACGUGUGCCAUUCUCUCCCAGUGCUGGGAUUACAGGAUGAGCCACCUUGCCUGGCGAAAUGUUAAGAUUUCUUAGGAGUUAUUGCCUCAGUGCAGUAGCUCUUAAUAAUUAAGGGCUUAUACCCUGUGGUGGUCAAGAAUGUAGUGGUUUUCUUUUGUCUUUUGAAGGUAAGUUUGUCUCCUAUAGAAUUUUGUUAAUCUGACUUUCUGUGUGCACACUGCAGGGAAGAUUAAUGAUGCCUACAAAUGUUUUUGCUCAGAGCUGUUCUAGUUGGAUGGUUAAGAGGCACUGCUCUGCAGUCAAGCUCUGAGGGAUCACACUUGCAGAGGAAGAUUUAGGCAGAUAGGACUUAGGGAGACUAUUUGGAAACUAGAAAUGAGUUUAAAAGUAAAGAGAGGCCAGGCGCAGUGGCUCACGCCUGUAAUCCCAGCACUUUGGGAGGCCAAGGCGGGUGGAUCACCUGAGGCCAGGAGUUCAAGACCAGCCUGGCCACCAUGGUGAAACCCUGUCUCUACUAAAAAUAAAAAAUUAGCUGGGCGCGGUGGUGUAUGCUUAUAAUCCUAGCUACCCGGGAGGCUGAAGCAGGAGAAUUGCUUGGACCCAGGAGGCGGAGGCUGCAAUCAGCUGAGAUCACGCCACUACACUCCAGCCUGAGCAGCAAGAGUGAAACUCUGGUCUCAAAAAAAAAAAAAAAAAAAAAAAAAAAAAAAAAAAAAUUAGCCUGAGGUGGGAAGAUGGCUUGAGGCCGGGAGGCAGAGAAUGCAGUGAACUAAGAUGGCAGCACCACUGCACUCCAGCCUGGGCCAUAGAGCCAGACCUUGUCUCAAAACAAGU
rnacentral:lncRNA from 10 species